UUAUUAUACUGAUAUGAAACUUUGUUCACAGAUCAGUAUACCAGGUCAAUCGGCCUUUUGAUCCCUUGUCCAGUUUUCUGAAUUUUGUCUUCUUGCCCGAUAUUUACAUGAUACAAAUGUUUGAUGGUUGUCCGCUAUGACUACUAGCCCAGUUUUCUUCAUGUAUAAAUGGUGAAUGUUACAUUUGUUUCUAAAGUUGUGGAUUUUAUAUAAUUUUGUAGUAUCCAAACAGUUUAUCCAUGUUGUUCUAUCUGCCAUUCUUUUGUCACUCCAAGGUUCAUCCUUGAAAUUCCCGAGAUUGUGUUCACUUAUGAUCUCUACAAAAGUGGUAACUUAGUAUCUUAAUGUAACUCUUGCUUUGGAAGAUGUGUGGCUGAAAGUCAUCGGCUGAGGCUGAAAGUCAUCGGCUGAGGCUGAAAGUCAUUGGCUGAGGCUGAGGCUGAAAUCAUAUGCUGAGCAUCACUAUUUAUUUAAACUGUGCAAUGUUAACUUAAUACCGGUUGUUGAUCCCAGUGGAGUAUGUAAGUUGGCGAUUGGGAGGUGUUGUCCUCAGGGACAGACAAUUUGUAGAUAAUAUUGAUUGAAUAGAUGUUGCUUAUUUUUGAGAGGAGUCAAGAUUUCAGUACAGUGAUACUAGUCUCUCCUUAAAAACACUAAUAAUUCACCUGUAUACAAGUAUCUCCUUAGAAUACCAAUGAUAUCUCAAACUGUUACCAUACAAAACUCUAAAACUGUAGUUUAACCCAGCAGAUGAUAGCGAUGAAUGAUAGCCUUACAAUACUACUAGUUGUCUUCCUAUAACCAAUAAAAAUGUUCAUAUCACAGUCUUGUACAAAUUAAUAAGUUUUGUGUAUUUAAGGAACUUGUGUAAUAUGUGUAUUGAUCAAUGAAAUUGUAAACCCCUUGUUUUAUCAUAUGUUAUGCUAUUUGUAACAUUUCUAAUAAAUUUUGUAAUACAACA